rnacentral:rRNA from 1 species
CCUGGCUCAGGACGAAACGCUGGCGGCGCGCCUCAUACAUGCAAGUCGAGCGAGAACCAGGGCUUGCCCUGGGGAGAGCGGCGAACGGGUGCGUAUCACGUGAGCAACCUGCCUCAGAGACCGGGAUAACUCGAGGAAACUCGGGCUAAUACCGGAUGCCCUCGGUGGAUCGCAUGGUCCGGCGAGGAAAUGGAUUCCGCUCUGAGAUGGGCUCGCGGCCUAUCAGCUUGUUGGUGGGGUAACGGCCUACCAAGGCGACGACGGGUAGCUGGUCUGAGAGGACGAUCAGCCACACUGGGACUGAGACACGGCCCAGACUCCUACGGGAGGCAGCAGUAGGGAAUCUUGCGCAAUGGGCGAAAGCCUGACGCAGCGACGCCGCGUGCGGGAUGAAGGCUUCGGGUCGUAAACCGCUUUCAGCAGGGACGAAAUUGACGGUACCUGCAGAAGAAGGCCCGGCCAACUACGUC